CCUACGGGUGGCUGCAGUCGAGAAUCUUCGGCAAUGGGCGAAAGCCUGACCGAGCGACGCCGCGUGUGGGAUGAAGGCCUUCGGGUUGUAAACCGCUGUCAGAGGGGAGGAAUGGGCGGAGGGUAAUCUCUUCGUUUUGACCUAUCCUCAGAGGAAGUACGGGCUAAGUUCGUGCCAGCAGCCGCGGUAAGACGAACCGUACAAACGUUAUUCGGAAUCACUGGGCUUAAAGGGUGCGUAGGCGGCGCUGAAAGUUGGGUGUGAAAUCCCUCGGC
rnacentral:rRNA from 1 species